rnacentral:rRNA from 1 species
UACGGAGGAUGCAAGCGUUAUCCGGAAUGAUUGGGCGUAAAGGGUCCGCAGGUGGCAGUGUAAGUCUGCUGUCAAAGAAUGAGGCUUAACCUUAUCAAGGCAGUGGAAACUACACAGCUAGAGUAUGGUAGGGGCAGAGGGAAUUCCUGGUGUAGCGGUGAAAUGCGUAGAGAUCAGGAAGAACAUCGGUGGCGAAGGCGCUCUGCUGGACCAUAACUGACACUCAGGGACGAAAGCUAGGGGAGCGAAUGGG